GAUGAACGCUGGCGGCGUGCUUAACACAUGCAAGUCGAACGAUGAAGCCCAGCUUGCUGGGUGGAUUAGUGGCGAACGGGUGAGUAACACGUGAGUAACCUGCCCUUAACUCUGGGAUAAGCCUGGGAAACUGGGUCUAAUACCGGAUAGGAGCGUCCACCGCAUGGUGGGUGUUGGAAAGAUUUAUCGGUUUUGGAUGGACUCGCGGCCUAUCAGCUUGUUGGUGAGGUAAUGGCUCACCAAGGCGACGACGGGUAGCCGGCCUGAGAGGGUGACCGGCCACACUGGGACUGAGACACGGCCCAGACUCCUACGGGAGGCAGCAGUGGGGAAUAUUGCACAAUGGGCGAAAGCCUGAUGCAGCGACGCCGCGUGAGGGAUGACGGCCUUCGGGUUGUAAACCUCUUUCAGUAGGGAAGAAGCGAAAGUGACGGUACCUGCAGAAGAAGCACCGGCUAACUCCGUG
rnacentral:rRNA from 1 species